rnacentral:lncRNA from 1 species
CAGGAGAAUCGCUUGAACCUGGGAGGCGGAGGUUGCAGUGAGCAGAGAUCGUGCUGCUGCUAAAAAACACAAAAAUUAGCUGGGCGUGGUGACGGGUGCCUGUAAUCCCAGAUACUCAGGAGGCUGAGGCAGGAGAAUCGCUUGAACCCGGAAAGUGGAGGUUGCAUUGAGCUGAGAUUGAGCCAUUGCACUCCAGCCUGGGCAACAAGAGCAAAACUCCAUCUCAAAAAAAAAAAAACAAAAAACCGAAAGAUUGCCUGAGACUGGGUAAUUUAUAAACAAAAGAGGUUUAAUUGACUCACAGUUAUGCACGGCUGGGGAGACCCCAGGAAACUUACAGUCAUGGCGGAUGGGGAAACAAACAUAUCCUUCUACCCAUGGUGGCAGGUAGGAGAAGAAUGAGAGCUGAGUGAAGUGGAUGCCCCUUAUAAAAACAUCAGAUCUCGUGAGAACUUACUAUCACUAGAAUAGCAUGGGGGAACCACCCCAUGAUUCAGUUACCUGCCCCCAGGUCUCUGCCACCACACAUGGGGAUUAUGGGAACUACAACUCAAGAUGAGAUUUGGGUGGGGACACAGGCAAAUUAUAUCAGCUGUUGUGCUCAUUAGUUUGUAUAUCAUCCUUGGCUCCUUUAGCACUAUAAGGGCAGGAUUGAGUCCUUGCAACAGAAACCAUUCAGCCUGCAAAGCUGAACCUAUUUACUUUCUGACCCUUUAUGGAAAAGUUUACUGAUCUCUGGACUAGACAGUUUUUUAAAAAUGACAUCUUAUGACCGGGCGCAGUGGCUCACGCCUGUAAUCCCAGCACUUUGGGAGGCGGAGGCGGGCAGAUCAUGAGGUCAGGAGAUCGAGA